GAUGAACGCUGGCGGCGUGCCUAAUACAUGCAAGUCGAGCGAACAGACGAGGAGCUUGCUCCUUCGACGUUAGCGGCGGACGGGUGAGUAACACGUAGGUAACCUACCUAUACGACUGGGAUAACUUCGGGAAACCGGAGCUAAUACCGGAUAAUAUUUCGAACCGCAUGGUUCGAUAGUGAAAGAUGGCUUUGCUAUCACUUAUAGAUGGACCUGCGCCGUAUUAGCUAGUUGGUAAGGUAACGGCUUACCAAGGCAACGAUACGUAGCCGACCUGAGAGGGUGAUCGGCCACACUGGAACGGAGACACGGUCCAGAAUACUACGGGAGGCAGCAGUAGGGAAUCUUCCGCAAAGGGCGAAAGCCUGACGGAGCAACGCCGCGUGAGUGAUGAAGGUCUUCGGAUCGUAAAACUCUGUUAUUAGGGAAGAACAAACGUGUAAGUAACUGUGCACGUCUUGACGGUACCUAAUCAGAAAGCCACGGCUAACUACGUG
rnacentral:rRNA from 1 species